UACGUAGGGGGCAAGCGUUGUCCGGAAUCAUUGGGCGUAAAGAGCUUGUAGGCGGUUUGUCGCGUCUGCUGUGAAAUUUCGGGGCUCAACCCCGAACUUGCAGUGGGUACGGGCAGACUAGAGUGUGGUAGGGGAGACUGGAAUUCCUGGUGUAGCGGUGAAAUGCGCAGAUAUCAGGAGGAACACCGAUGGCGAAGGCAGGUCUCUGGGCCACUACUGACGCUGAGAAGCGAAAGCAUGGGGAGCGAACAGG
rnacentral:rRNA from 1 species